rnacentral:rRNA from 1 species
CAUGCAAGUCGAACGAGAAUCUACUGAAGGAGGAUUCGUCCAACGGAAGUAGAGGAAAGUGGCGGACGGGUGAGUAACGCGUGAGGAACCUGCCUUGAAGAGGGGGACAACAGUUGGAAACGACUGCUAAUACCGCAUGAUGCAUAGGGGUCGCAUGAUCUUUAUGCCAAAGAUUUAUCGCUUCAAGAUGGCCUCGCGUCUGAUUAGCUGGUUGGCGGGGUAACGGCCCACCAAGGCGACGAUCAGUAGCCGGACUGAGAGGUUGAACGGCCACAUUGGGACUGAGAUACGGCCCAGACUCCUACGGGAGGCAGCAGUGGGGAAUAUUGGGCAAUGGGCGCAAGCCUGACCCAGCAACGCCGCGUGAAGGAAGAAGGCUUUCGGGUUGUAAACUUCUUUUAAGAGGGAAGAGCAGAAGACGGUACCUCUAGAAUAAGCCACGGCUAACUACGUGCCAGCAGCCGCGGUAAUACGUAGGUGGCAAGCGUUGUCCGGAUUUACUGGGUGUAAAGGGCGUGCAGCCGGGUCUGCAAGUCAGAUGUGAAAUCCAUGGGCUCAACCCAUGAACUGCAUUUGAAACUGUAGAUCUUGAGUGUCGGAGGGGCAAUCGGAAUUCCUAGUGUAGCGGUGAAAUGCGUAGAUAUUAGGAGGAACACCAGUGGCGAAGGCGGAUUGCUGGACGAUAACUGACGGUGAGGCGCGAAAGUGUGGGGAGCAAACAGGAUUAGAUACCCUGGUAGUCCACACUGUAAACGAUGAAUACUAGGUGUGCGGGGACUGACCCCUUGCGUGCCGCA